UAUCAUCAGUAGUUGGUCCUAAACAAACUGUUCAUCCAUCCCAUUGCAAACAUUUCACAUAAUUAGAAUUGAAUCAUACCCUAAUAUAUUCAUUAUAUAUAUGGUUUUCCUUCAAACUCCUGAUGGGUCUAUCGUUACUCUUGUUUUCAUGUUAUUUAAAUAGAGGCUUUCAACAAUGAUUUACCAUGUUAGACAAUGGACAGUAUCUUCAUCUCUCUCUAUGGUUUUGUUAAUAUAAUAGCAUUUAGACAGGAAUGAUUAAUUGUAAUGUAUAAAAACUAUGAAAUGUAACUGUUUAUAUGACUUUGUUCAACAAUUAUAUAAACAUCAGAGAGGAACUCAGUGGAUGUUUUAAAAAUGUGUUCAACCACAUGGGUAAGAAGCCUUCAUCUUGCAUAUUGUUUUUUGUACUUGAAUGAACUGCGCUUUAUCUGUACAGUUUUGUAUAGACACUGUUGACGUUUCUAACUAACACAUCAUUUUUUUUUUUAAAUUCUCACUUUUUGAAUUUUAUGUUGUGGCUGGUGUUAUGUUUUUACUUAUUUUUAUAUUAAGAACAAGCAAUUGUAUUGUGCAUAUAUUACUUUUUUUAAAUUUUAAUAUAAUUAUACAGUGUAUUCCAAUAUGUAUCCCAAUAUUUAUCCUAGUUUAAUUUGACAUUUUAAACAGAAGGCCUUGGUAUUUUAAUGUUUCAUUAAUAUAUGAGAAAAAAGUUCCUAUGCACCAAAUAAAAUGGUCCCAAACCAACUGCAAAGUUUGUCAAUAGUUGAAAUUUAACAAAAUGAUUCCGUAAACAUAGCUGCAAAGCAUCUCAUACUACAUGUACAUGUACAUACAUGUGUAUUUUACAAAUGACCAAUAAAUAAUAUCCUGAAAACUAGUUUAUUUUUUCUUCAUUACCAUCUAACACAUACCUUUUGCAAUACAUACAUAGGAACCUUUUUCCAUGAGUAUAAUAUUAUAUUGUUUUUCUUCUUUCAAUAAAGAUUUUUUUUUUUUAUCAGGAUCAUAGUUAUUGUUUGUUGUUGUUAUUGUUUUUGUUACUGAUUUUAAGUGAAAAAAAUUAUUGUCAUUAAAACAGGAGCAAUUCGAUAGAUGAUUCUUGCUUAGAUACCAUGCAAGUAAUGCAUCAUAGGCAGGCUUCAGAGUGAGCCAAGUGCCACCCGGAGAGGACAGUUCAUUUCUGGGUUCUGUAUUUUCUGUACAGUGCUUCAUGAUCCCUGUGUACAGUCUCAUUUCAAGUGCUGGACUGGAGUUGUUCAGAGAACGAGUGAUGGCAAGAUCAAACAUGAAUUGUAGUUCUCAAAAAUACAAAGAAACCAAUAUAACAUCGUUUUAUUCCUUUAUUCUAAAUCCAAGAACCUUUUGUCAAUACAUAGUACAAUUAUUGUUCGUAAUAUCAUCGAAAAUUAAAAUAAUGAAUAAUCAAAUAAAAAUAUAAAUACA